GCCAUCCUUGGGAUACCACCCUUGUAGUACUGGGACUCUAACCAUAGGCCAUGAAUCUGGUCUUGGGACACUGUCAGGUGGGCAGUUUGACUGGGGCGGUCGCCUCCCAAAAGGUAACGGAGGCGCUCAAAGGUUCUCUCAGUACGGUCGGAAAUCGUACGUAGAGUGUAAAGGCAAAAGAGAGCUGGAUUGCAAGACAUACAGGUCGAGCAAGGAUGAAAAUCGGACUUAGUGAGCCGGUGGUUCUGCGUGGAAGGGCCAUCGCUCAACGGAUAAAAGCUACCCUGGGGAUAACAGGCUUAUCUCCCCCAAGAGUCCACA
rnacentral:rRNA from 1 species